rnacentral:rRNA from 1 species
UGCCAGCCGCCGCGGUAAGACGGAGGGGGCUAGCGUUGUUCGGAAUUACUGGGCGUAAAGGGCGCGUAGGCGGCCUUGUAUGUCGGGGGUGAAAUCCCAGGGCUCAACCCUGGAACUGCUCUCGAAACUGCAAGGCUAGAGUGAGUGAGAGGCGGACGGAAUUCCGAGUGUAGCAGUGAAAUGCGUAGAUAUUCGGAGGAACAUCGGUGGCGAAGGCGGUUCGCUGGUGCUCAACUGACGCUGAGGCGCGAAAGCGUGGGGAGCAAACAGGAUUAGAUA